UUGUUGCGUAUAUGGUUGUCAGAAUCGAUAUUCCACCGGCGGACUAAAGUUUUAUAGGAUUCCGACAGGAUCACAACCAUUUAAGAGCAACCGGCGGCGUCUGUGGCUGCAGGCGAUUAAACGUGUUGACUGGAAUGAGGACAUAAUAAAAAAUGCUCGGGUCUGUAGCGCCCACUUUAUAUCAGGUGAGGCGUCAUUGGACUCUAGUAGCCCCGAUUUUGUGCCUUCUGUGUUUGUGUACACAAAACAAAGCCAGAACCCCGAUGCAAAGAUGGACAGGUACCAUAGGAAAAGGAGGAGAGAGAGACCUAACAGACCUAACACUGCAGCAAAUCCUCCGGUUCCAUCUGAAACUCCAGAACAAGAAUCUAUGUCAUGGUAUUUGACGUUCUGUACAUGACCACAGACAACGUAUUCAUAAGCAUCCAGUGACUUAUAGGCUCGUAAUUUCUCUCUGGUGU